rfam:Alligator mississippiensis ScZkoYb_51, whole genome shotgun sequence.
AUUUCUUUCUUUCGCCUCUUGGCCCAGAUCAAGUGUAGUUCCUGUUCUUAUCAGCUGUAAUAUCUGAUACGUCCUCCAUUGGAGGCUGUGUAUUGAGCACAUUUUUGGUCCUGGGAGGUGGAACCGGAGCUUGCUCCAUCCCCUCCAUGCAUCAGCCUGGUAUUACAGUGCUUCUUUCUUUCUUUCUUUCUUU